rnacentral:rRNA from 1 species
GGAAUCUUCCACAAUGGGCGCAAGCCUGAUGGAGCAACACCGCGUGAGUGAAGAAGGGUUUCGGCUCGUAAAGCUCUGUUGUUAGAGAAGAACGUGCGUGAGAGUAACUGUUCACGCAGUGACGGUAUCUAACCAGAAAGCCACGGCUAACUACGUGCCAGCAGCCGCGGUAAUACGUAGGUGGCAAGCGUUAUCCGGAAUUAUUGGGCGUAAAGAGGGAGCAGGCGGCAAGAUAAGUUUGAAGUGAAAGCGUGGAGCUCAACUCCAUACAGCUUCGAAAACUGUCUAGCUAGAGUACGAGAGAAGUGAACGGAACUCCAUGUGUAGCGGUGAAAUGCGUAGAUAUAUGGAAGAACACCAGUGGCGAAGGCGGUUCACUAGCUCGAAACUGACGCUCAGUCCCGAAAGCGUGGGUAGCAAAUA